AGUGAACGCUGGCGGUAGACCUAACACAUGCAAGUCGAACGGCAGCACAGUAAGAGCUUGCUCUUACGGGUGGCGAGUGGCGGACGGGUGAGGAAUACAUCGGAAUCUACUUUUUCGUGGGGGAUAACGUAGGGAAACUUACGCUAAUACCGCAUACGACCUACGGGUGAAAGCAGGGGAUCUUCGGACCUUUCGCGAUUGAAUGAGCCGAUGUCGGAUUAGCUAGUUGGCGGGGUAAAGGCCCACCAAGGCGACGAUCCGUAGCUGGUCUGAGAGGAUGAUCAGCCACACUGGAACUGAGACACGGUCCAGACUCCUACGGGAGGCAGCAGUGGGGAAUAUUGGACAAUGGGCGCAAGCCUGAUCCAGCCAUGCCGCGUGGGUGAAGAAGGCCUUCGGGUUGUAAAGCCCUUUUGUUGGGAAAGAAAAGCAGCAGGUUAAUACCCCGCUGUUCUGACGGUACCCAAAGAAUAAGCACCGGCUAACUUCGUG
rnacentral:rRNA from 1 species